CGCUUUAAGACGAGCCUGCGUCUGAUUAGCUAGUUGGUGAGGUAAUGGCUCACCAAGGCUUCGAUCAGUAGCUGGUCUGAGAGGAUGAUCAGCCACACUGGGACUGAGACACGGCCCAGACUCCUACGGGAGGCAGCAGUGGGGAAUUUUCCGCAAUGGGCGAAAGCCUGACGGAGCAACGCCGCGUGAGGGACGAAGGCCUCUGGGCUGUAAACCUCUUUUCUCAAGGAAGAAGAUAUGACGGUACUUGAGGAAUAAGCCACGGCUAAUUCCGUGCCAGCAGCCGCGGUAAUACGGGAGUGGCAAGCGUUAUCCGGAAUUAUUGGGCGUAAAGCGUCCGCAGGCGGCUUUUCAAGUCUGCUGUUAAAGCGUGGAGCUUAACUCCAUCAUGGCAGUGGAAACUGAAAGGCUUGAGUAUGGUAGGGGCAGAGGGAAUUCCCGGUGUAGCGGUGAAAUGCGUAGAUAUCGGGAAGAACACCAGUGGCGAAGGCGCUCUGCUGGGCCAUUACUGACGCUCAUGGACGAAAGCCAGGGGAGCGAAAGGGAUUAGAUACCCCUGUAGUCCUGGCCGUAAACGAUGAACACUAGGUGUCGGGGGAAUCGACCCCUUCGGUGUCGUAGCUAACGCGUUAAGUGUUCCGCCUGGGGAGUACGCACGCAAGUGUGAAACUCAAAGGAAUUGACGGGGGCCCGCACAAGCGGUGGAGUAUGUGGUUUAAUUCGAUGCAACGCGAAGAACCUUACCAGGGUUUGACAUCCUGCGAACCUCUUAGAAAUUUGAGGGUGCCUUCGGGAAUGCAGUGACAGGUGGUGCAUGGCUGUCGUCAGCUCGUGUCGUGAGAUGUUGGGUUAAGUCCCGCAACGAGCGCAACCCACGUUUUUAGUUGCCAGCAUUUAGUUGGGCACUCUAGAAAGACCGCCGGUGAUAAACCGGAGGAAGGUGUGGAUGACGUCAAGUCAUCAUGCCCCUUACACCCUGGGCUACACACGUACUACAAUGCUACGGACAAAGGGCAGCAAACUCGCGAGAGCUAGCAAAUCCCAUAAACCGUGGCUCAGUUCAGAUCGUAGGCUGCAACUCGCCUACGUGAAGUAGGAAUCGCUAGUAAUCGCAGGUCAGCAUACUGCGGUGAAUACGUUCCCGGGCCUUGUACACACCGCCCGUCACACCAUGGAAGUUGGCCAUGCCCGAAGUCGUUACUCCAACCCUUGUGGAGGAGGACGCCGAAGGUGGGGCUAAUGACUGGGGUGAAGUCGUAACAAGGUAACCGUA
rnacentral:rRNA from 1 species